CCUACUAUCUCUGACUGGUCUGUAUUGUCAGAUUUUCAGUCUCUCCUCACCAGAAAUCCUCCAUGUAAAUGACAAGCUUGGAUUCAAAAGUAUAUUUCUCAUUAGGUGGGAAAGGCUUCACGUUUUGAACUGAAGGGCAGUGGAACUUGACCUUUGACACUUACAAACUCAAAAUUCCUGGGAUAAGAUUCUUUACAUUAAAAGGGAAGGUAGCUGUGCUACUUGGAAUAUAGCGAGUCACCUGAGAGAGAGGCAAGCUGAUGUUCGUCCUGACCCAACAAAACCAGCUCUUACUGAUUCACAUGUACCAAGCCCGCACUCCUCUGUCCCUGCAGAUCAAUUCCCUUCUCGCUAAAGGCAGGCCACCUCUUCACGGAGUCUCUUAUUCUCUUCUUCUAACCUGUCCCUUUCUAACUUGGCCUGCUGUCAGCAUUCUGUCUAUUCCUUCGUUAGACAGCCGAUUGCGACUGCCUUCUGUACUGUCUUACAUUUCUUGUCUGACAUCUUUGCGUGGACACUCUCCCAAAGAGCUUUCCCCAGCGGGUUUUCCCUUGUUGCUAGUAUGACCUGCAUACUCACGAUAUUGCGGCCACAUCCCUGUUACGUAUUUAUGUCUCACUGCCAGAGCCUCCAUGGCUCUACUUUUUUGAAGAAAAGAUUACCAGCACAACUCUGCAGAGAAUGGAGGAGCUCUUGAUACCCUCACCGGUGAGAUUCCUUUAAAUGUUCCAAGGGAACAGAUUAUCCUGAUAGUUUGAGCUCUUUAAAUUAUCAAAAUGUUACUAGUUUUUGACUAAGGGGAAUCACGAGCUCAGUCUGAGUGUAUUUAGCUGCAGUCACCACAGUACUAUUCACAGUAGCAUGGAAUUGAAAAAAUCUAAUGGCUUAUCAAACCUACUGCCUCCAUUUAACUACAAUUGAUUGGCUGUGCUGUCAGCCUCCUUGGGACAUAAGCAAUCAUAGAAAUUACAAGAUCAUAUUUCAACUUUUAUUUGUACAUUUUCAGCAGUACUUCAAGUUGACAGGUGAACAUAUUUUGUAUGCAUGGUGAGCAAAACUCGAGUCCUGCCUAAUUUAAUUAUUUCUUCCCUAUCAGAAUACAGAUAAAUUCUGGUUGUAUCUUACUGCUUGUUUCAGCUUCUUGUCCAUAAAGAUGGAAUAGAUUUUACAUUUAAUCUACGGCAUAGUGAUAUCUGAUUGCACUAUUUUUUCUAUCUCCUUUGCAGACAAAAACUCAACGUGCUGCAAAAAAUGCCCACAAGCGUUAAUGUCUGCAAAACCAGGUCCGGGUUUAAGACUGACCACUGUGCAGAUUUGUUUUCAUCAUUGGAAAUGUGCCUCAAUAUAAAUAAAUAUCUGUGGUUUCCUUUCACUUUGAGCUGCUUUACGGGGAUGUAAGGUAUUGAACAUCAACAUCGAGCAUAAUUGAAAUUCAAACUCAACUUACCUAUUCUAAUUUCACAUCAUUUGUAUGAAAUCAUAUCUGCUCUCUGAAAGUUUACAAACUGGAUUUAUAUGUUUAAAAACUGAAAUUUUUUUUUCUAAAGGGAAGGAUGCUGUAUUUGUAGGAUUGUUUACUACUAAGGUAUUUUAUGCCACAAAAAUUUUAGUGUUACAUUUUUGGUGUAGUAUGAAAAAAACCACAGGACGUUAGGCUGUGUAGUUCUUACGUUUUCAUUUUGAGUCAGGAAAUGUCUAAAGUCUGUGCACAAUAAUGAAUUCUGUCUCUAUCCCUCUCCCUUGAAACUGUGAGGCUGAACGAGAAUGUUUUUGACCUUGGUGUUGUACUGGACCCCAGGAUGAGCUUCCAACCACAUAUUCAUUUCCUCAUCAGGACUUACUUCUACUUCUGAAAAUGUUGCCCAACAUUUUCUAUAAAUGUCUCAGCUCAUCUGCUGCUGAAAACCCAUGUUCUUACCUGUGUUACCUCUAGACUUAUUCUAUUACUGUCCUGGCCAGCCUCCCAGCUCCCAUUCAGGUAACAUCCUGUUGCCCAUAUUCUGACUCGCACUAGUUCCAUUCUCCUGUUAACCUCAUGUUUCCUGACUUAGAGAAUCGUUUCCAGAUCUACAGCCUAUUUUUAAAUUCUUAACAUUGUACUUAUUACCUUUCCACAUCUGUAAACCCUCAAAGAUAUCUGCAUUCAAGUCAAAUUAAAAAUGGAAAAAGCUGGAAGUACUCUGCAGGCCUGACAGCAUCUAUGGAGUAAGAAACAGACCUAACACUUCAGGUCAAUGACCUUUCAUUAGAACAAUCCAAUUCCGACCUCCUGAGCAUCCCUGAUUUUAAUUGCUUUGCUAUUUGUGUCCGUGUCUUCAGCUGCACGGACACUAAACCCAGAAAUUUCCACCAUAAACUCGUGCCUCCUUUAAAACACUAAGAUUUGCAUCUUCAAUGAAGCUUUUGGUGGUCUGUCAGAAUGUCACCUUGUGUGGCUUGGUGUAAAAUUGUGUUUGGUAACUCUCCUGUAAAGAACCUCAGUAUGUUUCACUAAAAGUGUUACAUAAACACAUUACUGUUCAAGAACUUGUACUUACGUUGUGUAAAAGGCUGAUAUAACUGUUCGAAUAUACUAUAUUUUCAUAACCUUGCAUCACAUAAAGCAUUUUGUUUGGGAUUCAAUUGUUUAAGUUUACUUGUGGACUAUUGCUUUGGGUGUAUUAUAGAAAUUGAAUCAGGUGGGUUAAAAGGUAAUCUGAAAAUAAAUUGCAAUGAACUUGUAAAAUA